CCUAGGGUUGUCAUUGGGCCGCCUUAACCUGUCUAGCCCCGUCUAUGGCCGCCUUGGGUCGCCUUGACCCACCUUGACACUUCUAGGGCAGCCAGAGGGCCGCCUUAACCAACCUAGGCCGCCAAGUGGCUGCCUUAAUACUCCUAGACCCACCUUGGCCGCCUUUACCCUCCUAGGCCCUCUCAAGCUCGCCUAGAACAGCUAAGGGGCAGUCUUGACCCGGCAAGGGCCGCAAAGGGGCCACCUUGACCUGUCCAGGGCCGCCAAGGGGUCGCCCUGACCCGCCUAGGCCUGCCUUGACCCGCCUUAGGCCGGGUUGACACACCUUGACCCGUCUAGGCUCAGGUUGUCACGCCUUAACCCGUAUUAGCCUGGCUUGACCCGCCUUAACCCGCCAUGGCCUGCCUUGGGCCACCUUGGGUCGCCUUGACUCUCCUAGGGCAGCCAAAAGGCCACCUUGACCCGUCUAGUGCCACCAAGCAACCACCUUGACGCGCCUUAACCCGUCUUAACCCGCUUUAAAUCGCCUUGACUCUCCUAGGGCAGCCAAGGGGCCGUCAUGACCCUCCUAGGGCCGCCAAGCGACCACCAUGACGUGCCUAGAGCCGCUUUUGACCCGUAUUGGCCCGCCUUAACCAUCCUUGGGCCGCCUUGACCCGCCUUGGGUCGCCUUAACCCUAUUAGGGCAGCUAAGAGGCCGCAUUGACCCGUCUAGGGCCACCAAGCGGCCGCCUUGACGUGCCUUGACCCACCUUAGGAAGCCUUGACCCCCCUUGACCCGCCUGGACCCUCCUUGGUCAGCCAAGGGACCACCUUGACCCGCCUAUGGCCGCUAAAGUGCCGCCUAGACCUGCCUAGGGCCGCCAAACCGUCGGCUUGACCCGCCUAGGCCUGCCUUGACCCUCCUAGGCUCAUCUAGGGCCACCAAGGGGCCACCAUGACUCGACAAGGGGUCUAGGAGGGUGAAGCGGCUGCCUUGACCUGCCUUGGGCAGCCAAGGGGCCGCCUUGACCCGCCUAGGGCCGCUAAGGGGUCCCCAUGACCAGCCUAGGCCUGCCUUGACCCUCUUAGGCUCGCCUAAGGCCACCAAGGGGCCGCUAUGACUCGACAAGGGUCGUCUUGACCCUCCUAGGCCCGUCUAAGGUCGCCUUGACCCGCCUAGGCCCUUCUAGGCUCGCCUAGGGCAGCCAAAGGGCCGCCCUUUAACCCUUCCGCCUUAGGGCCGGCCUUUAACCUUCGUCCCGUACGUCCAAGCGGCCGUUAUGGACCGCCUUAAACCCUGCCUUGACCCGCCUUGACCCUCCUAGGCUCACCUAAGGCCACCAAGGGGAUGUCAUGACUCACCAAGGGGUUGCCCAUGACCCUCCUAGGGCCGCCAAGGGGUUGCCUUGACCCGCUGAAGGCUGCCAUGGGGCCGCCUUGACCUGCUUAGGGCCACCUAGCGGCGACCUUGACCCUGCUAAGGCCUCCAAAGGGCCGCCUUGACCUGCCUAGACCCGGCUACGGCCGCCUUGACAUGUCUAGGGCUGCGAAGCGACUGCCUUGACCCGGCUAGGGCCACCAAGGGGCUGCCUUGACCCGUCUAGUGCCACUAAACGGCCAUCUUAACACACUUUAACCUGUCUUAACCCGUCUUAACCCACUUUAACCCUCUUAGGCCCGCCUAGGGUAGCCAAGCGGCCGCCAUGACCCUCCUAGGGCCUAAGCGGCCGCCUUGACGUGCCUACAGCCGUCUUGACCCGCAUUGGCCCACCUUGACCAUCCUUGGGCCGUCUUGACCCGCCAUGGCCUGCCUUGGAGUCUUGGCUGCCCUAGAGGCCACCUUGACUCAUCUAGGGCCACCAAGCGGCCGCCUUGACCCACCUUAGGAAGCCUUGACCCCCCUUCACCCGCCUGGACCCCCCUUGGUCAGCCAAGGGGCUGCCUUGACCCGCCUAGGGCCGCUAAAGGGGCACCUUGACUUGCCUAGGGCCGCCAAGCGGUCGGCUUGACCCGCCUUGACUAGCCUUGACCCGCCUUAACCUGCCUUGACCCUCUUAGGCUCGCCUAAGGCCACUAAGGGGCCAUCAUGACUCGACAAGGGGCCUAGGAGGCUCAAACGGCCACCUUGACCCGCCUAGGGCCGUUAAGGGGCCACCUUGACCUGCUUAGGGCCAUCCCUUGACCCGCCUUGACCUUCCUAGGCUCGGCUAUGGCCACCAAGGGGCCGUCAUGACUCGAUAAGGGUCGUCUUGACCCUCCUAGGCCCGUCUCAAGCCGCAUUGACCCGCCUAGGCUCGCCUAAGGCUGCCAAGGGGCUGCCUUGACAUGCCUAUGGCUGCUAAGGGGCCGCCUUGGCCUGCCAAAGGACGCCAAGCGGCAGUCAUGACCCGCCUAGGCCUUCCUUGGGGAACGCCUUGACCUGCCUCGACCCGCCUUGACCCGCAUAUGCUCACCUAGGGCCACCAAAGGGAUGCCAUGACUCACCAAGGAGCCGCCAUGACUCGCCAAGGGGUUGCCCAUGACCCUCCUAGGGCCGCCUUGACCUACCUAGACCCUGCUAGGGCCACCUUGACCCGCUUAGGGCUGCCAUGAGGCCACCUUGACUUGCCUAGGCCCGUUUAGGGCCGCCUUGUCCCUCCUUGACUCGUCUUGGCCCGCCUUUGGCCUCCUUGGCCCUCCUAGGCUCGCCUAAGCCAUCCUUGACCAGCGUUGGGCCGCUAAGGUGCUACGUUGACCCUCCUAGGCCCUCUUAGGCUCGCCUAGGGCAGCCAAUAGGCCGCCUUGACUCGCCAUGACCUUCCUUGACCCGCCUAGACCUCCCUUGACCCGCCUUGAUCCGCCUAUGCCCAUCUAGGGCCGCCUUGACCCGCUUUGACCUGCCUUGACUCGCCUGGACCCUCUUAGGCUUGCCUAGGGCCACAAUGACCCUCCUAGGCCCGUCUAGGGCCGCCUUGGGCCGCUUUGACCCUCCUAGGCCCGCCUAGGGCAGCCAAGGGUCUGCCAUGACCCUCCUAGGGUGGCCAAGGGGCCGCCUUGACCCUCCUUAACCCGCCUUGACCCUCCUAGGCUCACCUAGGGCCACCAAGGGGCCGCCAUGACUCGCAAAGGGGUCGCCAUGUUCCUCCUAGGCUCGUCUAGGGCCGCCUUGACCUGUCUAGGGUCGUCUUGACCCGUCUUGGGCCGCCUUAACUCGUCUUGGGCCGCUUUGACCCUCCUAGGCCCGCCUAGGGCAGCCAAGGGGCCGCCUUGACCCUUCUAGGGCCGCCAAGGGGCUGCCUUAACCCGCUUAGGGCUGCCAUGGGGCCGUCUUGACCCGCUUAGGGCUGCCAUGGGCCCGCCUUGACCCGUUUAGGGCCUCCUUGACCCGGCUAGGGUCACUAAGGGGGCCGCUUUCACCCGUCUAAGGCCGCCAAGGGGCAGCCUUAACUUGCUUAUGUACUGUCGCCAAGGGACCGCCUAGGGCCGCCUUAACCCGAGUAGGGUCACCAAGAGGCCGCCUUGACCCUUCUAGGGUCGCCAAGAGGCCGCCUUAACUUAUCUAGGUCCACCAAGGGCCGUCUUGACCCGGCUAGGGCUUCAGUUCUUCUCAUACUGACCUCGGGAACCUAAAUUUUGAAAAAGCAUAUGUGUUACCCAUCUUUUCAAGUUUCACCAAAUUUCAGCCAAAACCUCUUGUUAUAGUACACGAGUUUUUGAGAAAUUUCACUAUUUCUGAACGUUUGGUUUUUUUCCAAUCUUAUGUGCUUUUACACAUCUUCUAACAUCAAUUGAACCAUUGUAGCAUCAAAAGCUCAUGACCUUUAUCAUUUUACUCACAAUCGAGCCUAAAUGACUCGCGACAACUUUGUUUGGUAAGGGUGUUGGAACUGUUGCUAUCAGUGGAACAAGGUGAAUCGCCAUGCUUGUGGAGUCUUCAAUUCUUCUCAUACUAACCUCGGAAACCUAAAUUUUUAAAAAGUGUACGUGCUACCCAUCUUUUCAAGUUUCACCAAAUUUCAGCCAAAACCCCUUGUCCCCACACGAGUUUUUGAGAAAUUUCAAUUUUACUGAACGUCUGUUUUUUUUCCAUUCCUAUGUGCUUACACACAUCACCUAACAUCAAUUGAACCAUUAUAACAUCAAAAGCUCAUGGCCUUUAUCAUUUCACUCACAAUCGAGCCUAAAUAUAGAUCAACUAACAUGAAUUGAACCAUUAUAGCAUCAAAAGCUCGUGGCCUUUAUCAUUUUACUCGCAAUCGAGCCUAAAUGACUCACGACAACUUUAUUUGGUAAAGGGGUUGGAACUGUUACUUUCAGUGGAACAAGGUGAAUCGCCAUGCUUUUGGAGUCUUCAAUUCUUCUCAUACUGAC
rnacentral:lncRNA from 1 species